rnacentral:rRNA from 1 species
GAUGAACGCUGGCGGCGUGCCUAAUACAUGCAAGUCGAGCGAACAGAUGAGGAGCUUGCUCCUCUGACGUUAGCGGCGGACGGGUGAGUAACACGUGGAUAACCUACCUAUAAGACUGGGAUAACUUCGGGAAACCGGAGCUAAUACCGGAUAAUAUAUUGAACCGCAUGGUUCAAUAGUGAAAGACGGUUUUGGUGUCACUUAUAGAUGGAUCCGCGCCGCAUUAGCUAGUUGGUAGGGUAACGGCUUACCAAGGCAACGAUGCGUAGCCGACGGGAGAGAGGGAUCGGCGACACUGGAACUGGGACACGCACCAUACGCCUGAGGGAGGCAGCAGUAGGGAAUGGGACGCAAUGGGCGGGAGCAUGACGGAGCAACGGCGCGUGAGAGAUGAAGGUCCUCGGAUCGUGAAACUCUGUUAUGAGGGAAGAACAGAUGUGUAAGUAACUAUGCACGUCUUGACGGUACCUAAUCAGAAAGCCACGGCUAACUACGUG